AAUAUUGGACAAUGGGCGAAAGCCUGAUCCAGCCAUUCCGCGUGUGUGAAGAAGGUCUUCGGAUUGUAAAGCACUUUAAGUUGGGAGGAAGGGGUUGAAGCUAAUACCUUCAAUCUUUGACGUUACCAAUAGAAUAAGCAACGGCUUAUCCUUUGCCAGCAGCCGCGGUAAUACAGAGGGUGCAAGCGUUAAUCGGAAUUACUGGGCGUAAAGCGCGCGUAGGUGGUUCAGAAAGGUGGAAGUGAAAUCCCCGGGCUUAACCUGGGAACUGCUUUCAUAACUGCUGAGCUAGAGUACGGUAGAGGGUAGUGGAAUUUCCUGUGUAGCGGUGAAAUGCGUAGAUAUAGGAAGGAACACCAGUGGCGAAGGCGACUACCUGGACUGAUACUGACACUGAGGUGCGAAAGCGUGGGGAGCAAACA
rnacentral:rRNA from 1 species